rnacentral:lncRNA from 1 species
UGAAGACCCAAGCUUUCUGAACUUCAUUGAGCCAGAAAGAUGUGUUUUAAUUCAUGGAGUUUAUGGAAUGACUACAGCAUAGAAAGGUCUAGCCAGUGACUUCCAUGCCACUUGACAUCUUGGUCCUCACCAUUUCCAGCUUUGCCAAUGUUUGCAGACUCUCAGAAGGUGAUGGAUGGGAUAUUCUGAAAGUUGGAAGGCAGGCUUUGAGCCACAGAGAGCCACUGCAACAUUUGAAGAUUCUGGUGAUGAUGCUGACUGCCUGGCCACCUAAGAGGAAGAAAGGUUUGCCAACCCUUCUCUCAUGCUCACCGUCCAUCUUCCAUCACCUUUCCCCCUUUUAAUGCCCUUUCCCUGCUUUUUUUAUCCAAU